rnacentral:rRNA from 1 species
CCGGACCGGCGCACGGGUGAGUAACACGUAUGCAACCUGGCCGUGACAGAUGGAUAACCGGGAGAAAUCCCGCCUAAUACAACAUAAUGCCGGGAGGGGACAUCCCCUGCCGGUCAAAGGGGGCGACCCCGGUCAUGGAUGGGCAUGCGGCGCAUUAGGUAGUUGGUGGGGCAACGGCCCACCAAGCCGACGAUGCGUAGGGGUUCUGAGAGGAAGGUCCCCCACAUUGGAACUGAGACACGGUCCAAACUCCUACGGGAGGCAGCAG